rnacentral:rRNA from 1 species
UACGGAGGGUGCGAGCGUUGUCCGGAAUCAUUGGGCGUAAAGGGCGCGUAGGUGGCGGGACAAGCGUGCGGUGAAAGCUCGGGGCUCAACCCCGAGUCGGCCGUGCGAACUGUUUUGCUUGAGCACUGUAGAGGCAGGCGGAAUUCCGGGUGUAGCGGUGGAAUGCGUAGAGAUCCGGAAGAACACCGGUGGCGAAGGCGGCCUG